rnacentral:tRNA from 1 species
UGUAGCUCAGUGGCAGAGUGCUUGCCUAGCAUGCAUGAGGCACUGGGUUCAAUCCUCAGCA